AAUUGGAUGAUACGCCAAGAACCUUACCAGGGUUUGACAUUAUUGGGACAGCUGGUGAAAGCCAGUCUCCGUAGCAAUACGGCCCUUUAACAGGUGGUGCAUGGUUGUCGUCAGCUCGUGUCGUGAGAUGUUCGGGUUAAGUCCCCGCAACGAGCGCAACCCUCGCCGGAUGUUGCCAUCGGUAAACGCCGGGAACUCUUCCGGGACUGCCUGAGUAAUCAGGAGGAAGGAGGGGACGACGUCAAAUCGGCAUGCCCCUUACACCCUGGGCUGCAAACGUGCUACAAUGGCCGGUACAAAGGGUUGCCAAACCGCGAGGUGGAGCCAAUCCCCUAAAGCCGGUCUCAGUUCGGAUUGGGUGUCUGCAACCCGACCCCAUGAAGCCGGAAUCGCUAGUAAUCGCGGAUCAGCCAUGCCGCGGUCGAAUACGUUCCCGGGCCUU
rnacentral:rRNA from 1 species